rnacentral:lncRNA from 1 species
AAAGGAUCAAGUCCAAAGCUAGAGUUCAACUCCAAGAGUGAGAGUGAGAGUGUUCCACUACACAUUGUGUGAGUGAAGUUUAGAGUGAUAGAAAGUGUGUGUUAUACUUUCUUGUAUCCAUCAAGCCUUGUCUUUGGCUUGGUAAGACUACUCUUGUUGUAUUCAUCUUUUUCAUAUAGUGAAGAUUGAUCCUUGUUUGGUG